rnacentral:misc_RNA from 1 species
GAUGAAGAACGUAGCGAAAUGCGAUAAGUAAUGUGAAUUGCAGAAUUCAGUGAAUCAUCGAAUCUUUGAACGCACAUUGCGCCCGCUGGUAUUCCGGCGGGCAUGCCUGUUCGAGCGUCAUUUCAACCCUCAAGCUCUCCGGAGUUUGGUGUUGGGGCGCCUGGGGCUUUUCGACCUCAGGGCCCUCAAGUCCAUCGGCGGGACCGCCAGGACACUGAGCGCAGUAGUAUUAUUUCGCUCGGUAGGAUCUUCCACGGCGGGUCGAUCUGGCCGCUAAACCCCCCAAUACUCACCAAAGGUUGACCUCGGAUCAGGUAGGAAUACCCGCUGAACUUAAGCAUAUCAAUAAGCGGAGGA